rnacentral:rRNA from 1 species
AAAAGGGAAAAUGAAAUCCUUCCUCCUCCUCAUGUGGGCCUCCUUGUCCAGGCCCCUAACCUCGCCGGCGCUCGGCGCCCGAGCGUUCGCGUCCUCCGGAGCAACCGCGGCGGGCGGUUCAAGGUCACCGCCGCGGCGUCCGGUGGCUCUGUGAAGGAGGAGGAGGAGAAGGGGACCGGGAAGAAGGAGAAGAUAGUGAUUAGAGUCUUGGACCCCGUUCUCGCCGCCUCUGUUCUCGGCCCCAGAGGCUCCGGCAGAGUCCCCGGCGGCGAUUCGGCGCCUGGAAGAGGACGGGGAAGAAAGGCGGAGGUACUACGUGAACACGGGGUACGCCAUCCGGACGCUGAGGGAGGAGCUCCCUGA